rnacentral:rRNA from 1 species
AUACGGAGGAUCCGAGCGUUAUCCGGAUUUAUUGGGUUGAAAGGGAGCGCAGGCGGAGAUGCAAGCGUGACGUCAAAUUUCGGGGCUCAACCCCGUCUCGCGUCGCGAACUGCGUCCCUUGGUUGCGGGAAGGGGAGGCGGAACUCGUGGUGUAGCGGGGAAAUGCACAGAUAUCACGAAGAACUCCGAUCGCGAAGGCAGCCUUCCGGCCCGUCAACGACGCUCAUGCUCGAAGGUGCGGGUAUCAAACAGGAUUAGAUACCCUGGUAGUCCGUACAGUAAACGAUGGACACCCGCGGUUUGGCCUGUAUGGCUGAGCCGCCAAGCGAAAGCGUUAAGUGUCCCACCUGGGGAGUACGCCGGCAACGGUGAAACUCAAAUGAAUUGGCGGGG